UAUGGUGGGCUAGCCAACUGGAAGGAAAGGGGGGAGCUUCGGGGAUGAGCAUCGAAGGGGGAGCCUGGCCCAGUCCCAUCUCGCUCUCAGCCCCCUUCUCCAGAUCUGGGACCAGCAGGCUGCUGAAGUGUCCACGUCUAAGCCCACUUCAUGGGAUUGCACAGACCUGGAUGCUUCACAAUGGCUUCUCCAGCAGCAGGAACAGAGUGGACCACAGUCCUAGCCCUGCCCAAGUCCACCAAAACACGAGACAUGACAAGAAGGCCCAGACAGCAAGACAUGGAACAGAGGGGCUGCGAAGUUGGACUAAAUGCCAGUGGUGUGAAAAAUAUAUGGAUUUUUAUGUUGUCAAAUAUAGUUCAUACAUUUAUUUUCUCA